GCUUGCUGGGUGGAUUAGUGGCGAACGGGUGAGUAACACGUGAGUAACCUGCCCCUGACUCUGGGAUAAGCCCGGGAAACUGGGUCUAAUACCGGAUAUGACCAUGGGACGCAUGUCUUGUGGUGGAAAGAUUUAUCGGUUGGGGAUGGACUCGCGGCCUAUCAGCUUGUUGGUGAGGUAAUGGCUCACCAAGGCGACGACGGGUAGCCGGCCUGAGAGGGUGACCGGCCACACUGGGACUGAGACACGGCCCAGACUCCUACGGGAGGCAGCAGUGGGGAAUAUUGCACAAUGGGCGCAAGCCUGAUGCAGCGACGCCGCGUGAGGGAUGACGGCCUUCGGGUUGUAAACCUCUUUCAGUAGGGAAGAAGCGAGAGUGACGGUACCUGCAGAAGAAGCGCCGGCUAACUACGUGCCAGCAGCCGCGGUAAUACGUAGGGCGCAAGCGUUAUCCGGAUUUAUUGGGCGUAAAGAGCUCGUAGGCGGUUUGUCGCGUCUGCCGUGAAAGUCCGAGGCUCAACCUCGGAUCUGCGGUGGGUACGGGCAGACUAGAGUGAUGUAGGGGAGACUGGAAUUCCUGGUGUAGCGGUGAAAUGCGCAGAUAUCAGGAGGAACACCGAUGGCGAAGGCAGGUCUCUGGGCAUUUACUGACGCUGAGGAGCGAAAGCAUGGGGAGCGAACAGGAUUAGAUACCCUGGUAGUCCAUGCCGUAAACGUUGGGCACUAGGUGUGGGGGACAUUCCACGUUUUCCGCGCCGUAGCUAACGCAUUAAGUGCCCCGCCUGGGGAGUACGGCCGCAAGGCUAAAACUCAAAGGAAUUGACGGGGGCCCGCACAAGCGGCGGAGCAUGCGGAUUAAUUCGAUGCAACGCGAAGAACCUUACCAAGGCUUGACAUGUUCCA
rnacentral:rRNA from 1 species